GCCUCCAUAUCUAAAUGGUUGGAGCAUUGGUCUCGUGAACCAUGGAUCAUGAGUUCAUUUCUCUGUGGGGGCA
rnacentral:tRNA from 1 species